rnacentral:rRNA from 1 species
CUCUUUCCCUACACGACGCUCUUCCGAUCUGCGGUGAAAUGCGCAGAUAUCAGGAAGAACACCAGUGGCGAAAGCGGCUUUCUGGGCUGUUACUGACACUGAGGCGCGAAAGCUAGGGGAGCAAACAGGAUUAGAUACCCUGGUAGUCCUAGCUGUAAACGAUGGACACUAGGUGUGGGAAGUUAUCGACGCUUUCUGUGCCGAAGCUAACGCAUUAAGUGUCCCGCCUGGGGAGUACGGCCGCAAGGCUAAAACUCAAAGGAAUUGACGGGGGCCCGCACAAGCGGCGGAGCAUGUGGCUUAAUUCGACGCAACGCGAAGAACCUUACCAAGACUUGACAUCAUAUUGAAGGUUAUAGAAAUAUAACCGCCCGCAAGGGCAGUAUGACAGGUGGUGCAUGGUUGUCGUCAGCUCGUGUCGUGAGAUGUUGGGUUAAGUCCCGCAACGAGCGCAACCCUCUUCCCAUGUUGCCAGCAGUUCGGCUGGGCACUCUUGGGAUACUGCCAGUGUAAAACUGGAGGAAGGUGGGGAUGACGUCAAAUCAUCAUGCCUUUAUGUUUUGGGCUGCACACGUGCUACAAUGGCCUGUACAAAGAGCUGCGAUACCGUGAGGUGGAGCGAAUCCCAGAAAACAGGUCUAAGUCCGGAUUGAAGGCUGAAAUUCGCCUUCAUGAAGUCGGAGUCGCUAGUAAUCGUGGAUCAGCACGCCACGGUGAAUACGUUCCCGGGCCUUGUACACACCGCCCGUCACACCACGAAAGUCGGAUAAGAUCGGAAGAGCACACGUCUG